CCUACGGGAGGCAGCAGUGAGGAAUAUUGGUCAAUGUACGAGAGUCUGAACCAGCCAAGUAGCGUGAAGGAUGACUGCCCUAUGGGUUGUAAACUUCUUUUAUAUGGGAAUAAAAUGUUCCACGUGUGGGAUUUUGUAUGUACCAUAUGAAUAAGGAUCGGCUAACUCCGUGCCAGCAGCCGCGGUAAUACGGAGGAUCCGAGCGUUAUCCGGAUUUAUUGGGUUUAAAGGGAGCGUAGGUGGAUUGUUAAGUCAGUUGUGAAAGUUUGCGGCUCAACCGUAAAAUUGCAGUUGAAACUGGCAGUCUUGAGUACAGUAGAGGUAGGCGGAAUGCGUGGUAUAGCGGUGAAAUGCUUAGAUAUCACGAAGAACUCCGAUUGCGAAGGCAGUUCACUGGACUGCAACUGACACUGAGGCUCGAAAGUGUGGGUAUCAAACAGGAUUAGAUACCCCAGUAGUC
rnacentral:rRNA from 1 species